rnacentral:rRNA from 1 species
UGGCGUAAUGAUGGCCAGGCUGUCUCCACCCGAGACUCAGUGAAAUUGAACUCGCUGUGAAGAUGCAGUGCACCCGCGGCAAGACGGAAAGACCCCGUGAACCUUUACUAUAGCUUGACACUGAACAUUGAGCCUUGAUGUGUAGGAUAGGUGGGAGGCUUUGAAGUGUGGACGCCAGUCUGCAUGGAGCCGACCUUGAAAUACCACCCUUUAAUGUUUGAUGUUCUAACGUGGACCCGUGAUCCGGGUUGCGGACAGUGUCUGGUGGGUAGUUUGACUGGGGCGGUCUCCUCCUAAAGAGUAACGGAGGAGCACGAAGGUUGGCUAAUCCUGGUCGGACAUCAGGAGGUUAGUGCAAUGGCAUAAGCCAGCUUGACUGCGAGCGUGACGGCGCGAGCAGGUGCGAAAGCAGGUCAUAGUGAUCCGGUGGUUCUGAAUGGAAGGGCCAUCGCUCAACGGAUAAAAGGUACUCCGGGGAUAACAGGCUGAUACCGCCCAAGAGUUCAUAUCGACGGCGGUGUUUGGCACCUCGAUGUCGGCUCAUCACAUCCUGGGGCUGAAGUAGGUCCCAAGGGUAUGGCUGUUCGCCAUUUAAAGUGGUACGCGAGCUGGGUUUAGAACGUCGUGAGACAGUUCGGUCCCUAUCUGCCGUGGGCGCUGGAGAACUGAGGGGGGCUGCUCCUAGUACGAGAGGACCGGAGUGGACGCAUCACUGGUGUUCGGGUUGUCAUGCCAAUGGCACUGCCCGGUAGCUAAAUGCGGAAGAGAUAAGUGCUGAAAGCAUCUAAGCACGAAACUUGCCCCGAGA